ACAGUUACGCCGUUUGUAGCUGUAAAGCUCACGAUUGUGGGCGCAUCAACAGACAGAAGGAAUAUAUCGAUG
rnacentral:sRNA from 1 species